GGAAACAUAAUUUCAUCUCUUUCAAGAAAGACAAAAGUCUCUAUAUGCACAGACCAUCAAAUCGGCUGCAUUACCUACUUCAGUUGUCUUCUUCAUUUCAAAACUUCAAAAACAUCAAAACAAAUUCUCUCUCUUCCAAAAAUUUUCAUCAAACAUUCUUCAUCUAUACCCAAAUCAGCGAAGAUGUUCAACUAUACCCAGAAUCACCGGCCAAAAAAUCGCUUAAAGAUCUUCAAAAUCGCCGUAGAAUAUCAACGAACGCCGGAGAUAUUCAAGAAUCACCGGAGAAUUUCAACGGUCACCGCCGGAAAAAAAUCAGGCUAAAAACGAGAGGAUUUCAGGGAUGAAACAUGGUGGUUUUUACAGAGAGAGAUGCAGGGAUGGGAUGGUGGUGAUGAGUCAACUUGUGCAGAUUUAUUUUUGUAUUGAUUUAUAUAUUUAUAUGAAGAAGAUUAUUUGUUUUCAGUUAGAAUGAUGUUAGGAUCUGAUGUUUAUAUAACAAAUAAAUGUAACUAGCAAAACAUAUAUGAAUAUAGGAUUUGUUACA